rnacentral:rRNA from 1 species
GACGAACGCUGGCGGCGUGCUUAACACAUGCAAGUCGAACGGAAAGGCCCUGCUUUUGUGGGGUGCUCGAGUGGCGAACGGGUGAGUAACACGUGAGUAACCUGCCCUUGACUUUGGGAUAACUUCAGGAAACUGGGGCUAAUACCGGAUAGGAGCUCCUGCUGCAGGGUGGGGGUUGGAAAGUGUCGGCGGUUGGGGAUGGACUCGCGGCUUAUCAGCUGGUUGGUGGGGUAGUGGCUUACCAAGGCUUUGACGGGUAGCCGGCCUGGGAGGGUGACCGGCCACAUUGGGACUGAGAUACGGCCCAGCCUCCUACGGGAGGCAGCAGUGGGGAAUAUUGCACAAUGGGCGGAAGCCUGAUGCAGCAACGCCGCGUGCGGGAUGACGGCCUUCGGGUUGUAAACCGCUUUCGCCUGUGACGAAGCGUGAGUGACGGUAAUGGGUAAAGAAGCACCGGCUAACUACGUG